rnacentral:rRNA from 1 species
CGAACGCUGGCGGUGCGCCUAACGCAUGCAAGUCGAACGGGGUUGCGUCUGGAAGCUGGUUUCGGCCAGUGGACGGAUGUAACUUAGUGGCGAACGGGUGAGUAACACAUGGGUAAUCAACCCUUAGGAUGGGGAUACUCCCGAGAAAUCGGGCAUAAUACCGAGUAUGAUCCCGAGGUGAAAUCCCCUGGGAUAAAAGCUUCGAGCAAUCGUAGCGCCUAAGGAUGAGCCUGUGUCCUAUCAGCUAGUUGGUGAGGUAAAAGCCCACCAAGGCAAAGACGGGUAGCCGGACUGAGAGGUUGAUCGGCCACACUGGAACUGAGAUACGGUCCAGACUCCUACGGGAGGCAGCAGUGAGGAAUUUUGCGCAAUGGGCGAAAGCCUGACGCAGCGACACCGCGUGGGGGAAGAAGGCCCUCGGGUUGUAAACCCCUUUCGUGAGGGAAAAAGUCCCGAGCAAUCGGGAUGAUGGUACCUCAGGAAGAAGCCACGGCUAACUCUGUG